UGCUCCUGCAUCUUAGCAUCUGGAGUCCAGUGUUCCUUUUCCUGCUUGCUUCUGCUGGUCUCCUCCAUUUCAGUACAUUGUUCUGGCUCUGUGCUCCCAGUCCUGUGACCUGGCUUCCAGCCCAGUGUUCUUGCCUCUGCUUGGUCACAGCCAGCUGCAUAGGAACCCUUUUCCUGCAUUGAGAAGCUUCUUAACCAAUGCUGCUGUAUCUACAAUGUGCCCACGGAAGAAGAUUCAUAAUUUACUAAAGGUGUACACCUUACAACCAUGGAAAGAAACAAUUACUUCUAAAAGAGGGGCAUGCACCAUGGAGUGAUGGGAUCACACAUUUAUAGAGGAUGCCAUCUGGUGUACAAACAACUCCCCACAGAUACAACAGUUAAAAAAAAUCACUGUAGACAUUAUAAAUUGCAUACUGAGUCACACACCUCAGUGAGCAACACACAAUAUCUAUAGUGAUUUCUUAACUUAAGGCAAUUUGCCUCCAAAAGUUAUACUGUUUCUGUUACAUCAGUGUAACUAGGGAAGAGGAUUUGGGCCAAUGUCUUAGUCUUAAAAGCAUAUCCGUGUAUGUAUCCUAGGAGUUAUUUGUCUGCUUUACUACCUGUUCCUUGAACACUCAUUAGCUUCCUCCCUGCAACGGUGGUACAGUGGAGCUAGGGGUUGCUGAGUUGAAGCUUAGGACUUUUUGAGCAGCAAGGAUAACGAUAUCAUCUGCCAGGUUUUCUCAUUCCCUCUAAGCUUGAGUACAGCUCUCACAGUAGCUGGGAGAGAAAUGAAAUUUCUCAAAAUAUAUUGCUGUAAGCUAUUCAUGUUGUUAUUAGACAUGAUAUAUUUGUAUUUAUCUCCCAGAGAAUACAAAUAUGAAUAUUGGCACCACAGAUGCCUAGGCCAUUUGGAUUCUUCCCCUUGAAACAGCUGGUCCAUUUACCACU